rnacentral:rRNA from 1 species
UACGUAGGGUGCAAGCGUUGUCCGGAAUUAUUGGGCGUAAAGAGCUCGUAGGCGGUUUGUCGCGUCUGCUGUGAAAACUCGGGGCUUAACCCCGGGCCUGCAGUGGGUACGGGCAGACUAGAGUGCGGUAGGGGAGACUGGAAUUCCUGGUGUAGCGGUGAAAUGCGCAGAUAUCAGGAGGAACACCGGUGGCGAAGGCGGCUCGCUGG